AACGUAGGAGACGAACGUUUAUCCGGAGUUACUGGGCGUAAAGAGCGCGCAGGCGGUCGUUCAAGUCGCGUGUGAAAGCCCCCGGCUCAACUGGGGGGGGGUCACGCGAUACUGAUCGACUCGAAGGCAGGAGAGGGAAGUGGAAUUCCCGGUGUAGUGGUGAAAUGCGUAGAUAUCGGGAGGAACACCAGUGGCGAAGGCGACUUCCUGGCCUGUUCUUGACGCUGAGGCGCGAAAGCUAGGGGAGCAAACGGG
rnacentral:rRNA from 1 species